GGACACACACCACCUCAUCCAGCCACAGUGGCCACAGUCCUCAGACUGGACAGCCCCUGUGUACCUGGGAUGCGGAGAGUGACCCAAGCCUCAAUCCUGGCCAGUGAGACUGCCCAUCGAGGUGGAAAUCAUCGUCUUAAUUACCAAGGCUCCCUGGCCACCGGAGGAGACACGCAACACACAGCCUGCCUAAUGCGCCAGCAGCCGAGUUGGGGAGGUCCCUGGGAAAAAGGCCUAUGCUCCCCCAGCCAUUCUCAGGGCCUAGAAUGUUCUUUAGCACGAGAGAAGUGAAGGCUCAGGGGUCCAGUGGGGAGGGCCGGGUACCAGCCCAGAAGUAGGUCUAGCCAGGGAGGUGGAGUCCCCAAGAAACACCCUCAGGAGCCUGCUGAGUCACAAUCAUCCCUCACAGCACGAAUGUCUCGCCUGCUCCCUGCACGCAGCUCACCUGGGACUCUCCUUCUGCCGGCAGGGUGAGGGGCCUUUGAAAGGCCUAAACCAGAAAGGCUGGAGGGGCUGAAGGCAGGAGCCAGC
rnacentral:lncRNA from 1 species